GUGUCAGCCGCCGCGGUAAUACGGAGGGAGCUAGCGUUGUUCGGAAUCACUGGGCGUAAAGCGCACGUAGGCGGCUUUGUAAGUUAGAGGUGAAAGCCCGGGGCUCAACUCCGGAACUGCCUUUAAGACUGCAUCGCUUGAAUCUGGGAGAGGUGAGUGGAAUUCCGAGUGUAGAGGUGAAAUUCGUAGAUAUUCGGAAGAACACCAGUGGCGAAGGCGGCUCACUGGACCAGUAUUGACGCUGAGGUGCGAAAGCGUGGGGAGCAAACAGGAUUAGAAACCCCAGUAGUCC
rnacentral:rRNA from 1 species